ACACAUCCAACAACACUGGCGCAUUGUCCACCUUGACUCAUCAACACAUACCAGUUAAUUAAUAGUCCCAACCCUUAUCAUGUUUCCAACCAAUCAGCAUUUGAUAACAGUUUGUUUACAUUCAGAUGACGCGACGUGCUUCGUCUUCUCUGGGUCAGUUUGUCCAGAGUUUUUUUCAGUAUUGUUGUAACCAAUUGCACUUUGCAUGGUUUGAGUCAGUUUUUAUAUCACGACGAUUUCCUCAUUAAGGAAUUAAAGAAACUACAGAGCCCUAAAGAUGGUUUGAUUCCAAACCGAAACUUUGGAAUUUAAAAAAAAACAGUUUUUUCAUUUGGCACGAUAACCCUCAGCAACACAACGUCCUCCUGAAUAAAUUAUCUGCAUGUGCCAGCAAGACAACAA